rnacentral:rRNA from 1 species
UGUGUGAAUUGCAGAAUCCCGUGAACCAUCGAGUCUUUGAACGCAAGUUGCGCCCAAGGCCAUUAGGUCGAGGGCACGUCUGCCUGGGCGUCACGCACAGCGUCGCUCCCACCAUUAUGCCUUUGUUCUCUUAUCGGGCAACUGCAACGUGGCUUGGGAAGCGGAUAUUGGCCCCCCGUACCUUUGUAGGCGCGGCCGGCCUAAAAUUCGGCCCUCGGCGACGAGCGUCACGAUCAGUGGUGGUUGAAUAACCCCUUUGUCAUAGACCGGUAUCGUGUUGUUUCGUCGUCUAUUUGGGCCACAUGGACCCUUGCGUGUCGUAUAAACGACAUUCACUCUGCGACCCCAGGUCAGGCGGGACUACCCGCUGAGUUUAAGCAUAUCAAUAAGCGGAGGAGAAGAAACUUACAAGGAUUCCCUUAGUAACGGCGAGCGAACCGGGAUCAGCCCAGCUUGGGAAUCGGGCGACUUCGUUGUCCGAAUUGUAGUC